GGUUUGGAUCCGGCUCAGAUUGAACGCUGGCGGGAUGCUUUACACAUGCAAGUCGAACGGCACGACUUCGGUCUGGUGGCGAGUGGCGAACGGGUGAGUAAUGUAUCGGAACGUGCCUAGUAGCGGGGGAUAACUACGCGAAAGCGCUAAUACCGCAUAUUGCCCUUCGGGGGAAAGCGGGGGGACCUUCGCCUCGCACUAUUAGGGAGCGGCUGAUAUCGGAUUAGCUAGCGGUGGGGCACCGCUCACUAAGGUUAAUGAUCCGCAGCCGGGUUUGAGAGGACGACCAGCCAUCGGGACUGAGACACGGGCCCAGAUCUUCACGGAGUGCGCAGUGGGGAAUUUUGGACAAUGGGGAAACCUGAUCCAGCCAUCCCGCGUGUGCGAUGAAGGCUCUCGGGUUGCAAAGCACUUGGCAGGAAAGAAACGGCACGGAUACCCUGUGCAACUGACGGCACUCUGCAGAAUGCUAACGCUAACUACGCCAGCAGCCGCGGUAAUACGUAGGGUGCAAGCGUUAAUCGGAAUUACUGGGCGUAAAGCGUACGCAGGCGGUUCGGAAAGAAAGAUGUGAAAUCCCAGAGCUUAACUUUGAAAUCCAGACGGACCAACAUUUUGAGCAGUCAGAGGGAGGUGAAUUCCAAGUGUGUAAAGAGCAAAUGCGUAGAUAUGCGGAGGAACACUGAUGGCGAAGGCAGCCUCCCUGGGAUAACACUGACGCUCGACAACAGCGUGGGGAGCAAACAGGAUUAGAUACCCAGUCCACGCCCUUAAAACGAUGUCAACUAGCUGUUGGGGCCUUCGGGCCUUGGUAGCGCAGCUAACGCGUUGACCGCCUGGGGAGUACGGUCGCAAGAUUAAAACCAAAGGAAUUGACGGGGACCGCACAAGCGGUGGAUGAUGAUUACUCCGAUGCAACGCGAGAAACCUUACCUACCCUUGACAUGGUCUGAAUCCGAAGAGAUUUGGGAGUGCUCGCAGAGAACCGGAACACAGGUGCUGCAUGGCUGUCGUCAGCUCGUGUCGUGAGAUGUUGGGUUAAGUCCCGCAACGAGCGCAACCCUUGUCAUUAGUUACGAAAGUGGCACCUUAACGACUGCCGGUGACAAACCGGAGGAAGGUGGGGAUGAGGUCAAGUCCUCAUGGCCCUUAUGGGUAGGGCUUCACACGUCAUAAUGGCCGGACACAGAGGGUCGCCAAUCCGCGAGGGGGAGCCAAUCCCAGAAACCCGAUCGUAGGUCCGGAUCGCAGUCUGCAACUCGACUGCGUGAAGUCGGAAUCGCUAGUAAUCGCGGAUCAGCAUGUCGCGGUGAAUACGUUCCCGGGUCUUGUACACGCCCGCCCGUCAUACUCCAUGGGAGUGGUUUUACCAGAAGUAGUUAGCCUAACCGUAAAGGAGGGCGAUUACCACGGUAGGAUUCAUGACUGGGGAAGUCGUAAACAAGGUAA
rnacentral:rRNA from 1 species